rnacentral:tRNA from 1 species
GCCCAGAUAGCUCAGCUGGUAAAGCAUGAGACUCUUAAUCUCAGGGGUCGUGGGUUCAAGCCCUACAUUGGAUG